rnacentral:rRNA from 1 species
UACGUAGGGUGCAAGCGUUAAUCGGAAUUACUGGGCGUAAAGCGUGCGCAGGCGGUGAUGUAAGACAGGUGUGAAAUCCCCGGGCUUAACCUGGGAACUGCAUUUGUGACUGCAUCGCUAGAGUACGGUAGAGGGGGAUGGAAUUCCGCGUGUAGCAGUGAAAUGCGUAGAUAUGCGGAGGAACACCGAUGGCGAAGGCAAUCCCCUGGACCUGUACCGACGCUCAUGCACGAAAGCGUGGGGAGCAACAGG